rnacentral:rRNA from 1 species
AAGCGCUUAUGACCAGACUUGGGCGCGGUGAAUCAUCCAGCGUUUCGCGCUGGUGCACUUUGCCGUGUCCAGGCCAGCAUCAGUUCGCCUUGGGGGAUAAAGGCCCUGGGAAUGUGGCUCCUUCGGGAGUGUUAUAGCCCACUGCACAAUACCCUGGGGCGGACUGAGGUUCGCGCAUCUGCAAGGAUGCUGGCGUAAUGGUCAUCAGCGA